CAACUUUCAGCAGUGGAUGUCUAGGCUCGCACAACGAGAAGAACGCUCGACUGCGAUACGUAAUCGAACUCAGAAUUCAGUGAGUCAUCGAAAUUUUAGUGCAAAUUGGACUUUCGGCUUAUGCCUGGACGUAUUCUGUAUCAGUGUCCGUA
rnacentral:rRNA from 1 species